rnacentral:rRNA from 1 species
GUCUAUAGCCAUGCUACCCUGAACAAGCCCGAUCCUGUCUAAUCUUGGAUGAUAAGCAGGGUUGGCCCUGGUUAGUACUUGGAUGGGAGACCAUCUAGGAAGACCAAGUGCUGUAGGCG